AUUGAACGCUGGCGGCAGGCCUAACACAUGCAAGUCGAGCGGAGCGGCGGACGGGUGCGUAAUGGCUAGGUAUCUGCCUCGUAGUGGGGGAUAACGUCCGCAAACGGGCGCUAAUACCGCUUCCUAUCACCUGAGCCUAGGUGGGCUUAGCUAGUUGGUGGGGUAAAGGCCUACCAAGGCGACGACCCGUAACUGGUCUGAGAGGAUGAUCAGUCACACUGGAACUGAGACACGGUCCAGACUCCUACGGGAGGCAGCAGUGGGGAAUAUUGGACAAUGGGCGAAAGCCUGAUCCAGCCAUGCCGCGUGUGUGAAGAAGGUCUUCGGAUUGUAAAGCACUUUCAGCGGGGAGGCGUUACCCGCAGAAGAAGCACCGGCUAACUCCGUGCCAGCAGCCGCGGUAAUAC
rnacentral:rRNA from 1 species